rnacentral:rRNA from 1 species
UACGAAGGGUGCAAGCGUUACUCGGAAUUACUGGGCGUAAAGCGUGCGCAGGCGGUUCUAUAAGACAGAUGUGAAAUCCCCGGGCUCAACCCUGGGAACUGCAUUUGUGACUGUAGAGCUGGAGUACGGCAGAGGGGGAUGGAAUUCCGCGUGUAGCAGUGAAAUGCGUAGAUAUGCGGAGGAACACCGAUGGCGAAGGCAAUCCCCUGGGCCUGUACUGACGCUCAUGCACGAAAGCGUGGGGAGCGAACAGG